rnacentral:rRNA from 1 species
GAUGAACGCUGGCGGCGUGCCUCAUGCAUGCAAGUCGAACGGGGGAAACUUUGAGUAGCAAUACUUAGGGUUUUCUAGUGGCGAUCGGGUGAGUAACACGUAGGUGACCUGCCCCGAAGAGGGGGAUAACGACCCGAAAGGGUUGCUAAUACCCCAUGUGAUUGGUAAUUCAUUUUGUCCAAUUAAAGCUUCCGCAAGGAGUGUGCUUUGGGAGGGGCCUGCGGCGGAUUAGAUUGUUGGUGGGGUAANGGCCUACCAAGUCGACGAUCCGUAGCUAGUCUGAGAGGACGAUUAGCCACACUGGCACUGACACACGGGCCAGACUCCUACGGGAGGCAGCAGCAGGGAAUAUUGCACAAUGGGCGAAAGCCUGAUGCAGCAACGCCGCGUGAGGGAUGAA